rnacentral:tmRNA from 1 species
GGGGGUGUCAAGGUUUCGACGGGGCUGUUGAAGUAAGAGAAGCGGGUAGUGGAUUCUCGUUGGCCACUUUAAAAAACGAGAGAAAAAAAUAAGUGCUGACAAUAACAAGUUGGCUCUCGCAGCCUAAUUAAAGGCUGCCGUCCCGCGCGGGAGGACCACGGCCCGCGAUGGGGCGUCGACCAGUGGUGAACGUGACACGGCAAAGCUUUGAGCCGUGCAUGACAAAAUGAAGCUACUGAAGCUGUAAGCCUGUUCAUGGGCGUACAGCGGAGGGAAUGUUAAAACAUGAACUGCACCCGGAGAUGCUCUUGCGGAUACGGUUUCGGACAGGGGUUCGACUCCCCUCACCUCCACCA